UACGUAGGGCGCAAGCGUUGUCCGGAUUCACUGGGUGUAAAGGGUGCGCAGGCGGGAGUGCAAGUCAGAGGGGAAAUCUCACGGCUCAACCGUGAAACUGCCUUUGAUACUGCAUUUCUUGAGUUAGGGAGAGGUUGAUGGAAUUCCAGGUGUAGCGGUGAAAUGCGUAGAUAUCUGGAAGAACACCGGCGGUGUAGACGGCUUUCUGGACCGUAGCUGACGCUGAGACACGAAAGCGUGGGUAGCAAACAGG
rnacentral:rRNA from 1 species